rnacentral:rRNA from 1 species
AACGAACGCUGGCGGCAGGCCUAACACAUGCAAGUCGAACGGCAGCACAGUAAGAGCUUGCGCUGACGGGUGUCGAGUGGGGGACGGGGGAGGAAUACUGCGGAACCUACCUCUUCGUGGGGGAUAACGUAGGGAAACUUACGCUAAUACCGCAUAUGACCUAUGUGUGAAAGCAGGGGUUCUUCGAACCUUGUGCUAGUGUAUGAGCCGAUGUCGGAUGAGCUGGUUGGCGGGGUAGUGGGCCACCAAGGCGACGAUGCGUAGCUGCUCCGGGGGGAUGGUCAGCCACCCUGUAGGUGAGACACGGUCGACACUCCUACGGGGGGCCGCAGUGGGGAAUAUUAGACAAUGGGGGCAGGCCUGAUCCUGCCACACCGCGGGGGUGAAGAUGGAGUUCUGGUUGUUGAGCCCUUUUGUUGGGAGAGAAGAACAGCUGGUUAAUCCGCGGCUGUUCUGACGGUACCCGGAGAAUAAGCACCGGCUAACUUCGUG